AUUGAACGCUGGCGGCAGGCCUAACACAUGCAAGUCGAACGAGCGGCGGACGGGUGAGUAAUGUCUGGGAAACUGCCUGAUGGAGGGGGAUAACUACUGGAAACGGUAGCUAAUACCGCAUACCAUCAGAUGUGCCCAGAUGGGAUUAGCUAGUUGGUGGGGUAAUGGCUCACCUAGGCGAAGACCCCUACCUGGUCUGAGAGGAUGACCAGCAACACUGGAACUGAGACACGGUCCAGACUCCUACGGGAGGCAGCAGUGGGGAAUAUUGCACAAUGGGGGCAAGCCUGAUGCAGCCAUGCCGCGUGUGUGAAGAAGGCCUUCGGGUUGUAAAGCACUUUCAGCGGGGAGGCGUUACCCGCAGAGGAAGCACCGGCUAACGCCGUGCCAGCCGCCGCGGUAAUAC
rnacentral:rRNA from 1 species